GUUGUAUGGUUAAGUGACUAAGCGUACACGGUGGAUGCCUUGGCAGUCAGAGGCGAUGAAGGACGUAGUAACUUGCGAUAAGCGUAGAUGAGGCAGUAACAGCCACUUGAGUCUACGAUUUCCGAAUGGGGAAACCCACUGGCAUAAGCCAGUAUCAUUGAGUGAAUACAUAGCUCAAUGAAGCGAACCGGGAGAACUGAAACAUCUAAGUACCCCGAGGAAAAGAAAUCAACCGAGAUUCCGAAAGUAGCGGCGAGCGAAAUUGGAUUAGCCCUUAAGCUUUACAUGUGUUAGACGAACGGUCUGGAAAGUCCGACGAUACAGGGUGAUAGUCCCGUAGUUGACGAUGCAUGUUCAGUGAAAUCGAGUAGGGCGGGACACGUGUUAUCCUGUCUGAAUAUGGGGGGACCAUCCUCCAAGGCUAAAUACUCCUGACUGACCGAUAGUGAACCAGUACCGUGAGGGAAAGGCGAAAAGAACCCCUGUGAGGGGAGUGAAAUAGAACCUGAAACCGUGUACGUACAAGCAGUAGGAGCACCUUCGUGGUGUGACUGCGUACCUUUUGUAUAAUGGGUCAGCGACUUAUAUUCAGUGGCAAGGUUAACCAUCUAGGGGAGCCGUAGGGAAACCGAGUCUUAACUGGGCGCCAUAGUCUCUGGAUAUAGACCCGAAACCGAGUGAUCUAGCCAUGGGCAGGUUGAAGGUUGAGUAACAUCAACUGGAGGACCGAACCGACUAAUGUUGAAAAAUUAGCGGAUGACUUGUGGCUAGGGGUGAAAGGCCAAUCAAACUCGGAGAUAGCUGGUUCUCCCCGAAAGCUAUUUAGGUAGCGCCUCGGACGAAUACUACUGGGGGUAGAGCACUGUUAAGGCUAGGGGGUCAUCCCGACUUACCAACCCUUUGCAAACUCCGAAUACCAGUAAGUACUAUCCGGGAGACACACGGCGGGUGCUAACGUCCGUCGUGGAGAGGGAAACAACCCAGACCGCCAGCUAAGGUCCCAAAUUACAGCUAAGUGGGAAACGAUGUGGGAAGGCUUAGACAGCUAGGAUGUUGGCUUAGAAGCAGCCAUCAUUUAAAGAAAGCGUAAUAGCUCACUAGUCGAGUCGGCCUGCGCGGAAGAUGUAACGGGGCUAAGUUGUAAACCGAAGCUGCGGCAAUGUUCUUUGAACAUUGGGUAGGGGAGCGUUCUGUAAGCCGUUGAAGGUGUGUUGUAAAGCAUGCUGGAGGUAUCAGAAGUGCGAAUGCUGACAUGAGUAACGACAAGGACAUGAGUAACGACAAGGGGGGUGAAAAACCUCCCCGCCGGAAGACCAAGGGUUCCUGUCCAACGUUAAUCGGGGCAGGGUAAGUCGACCCCUAAGGCGAGGCCGAAAGGCGUAGUCGAUGGGAAACGGGUUAAUAUUCCCGUACUUCUUACAAUUGCGAUGGGGGGACGGAGAAGGCUAGGUGGGCCUGGCGACGGUUGUCCAGGUUCAAGUGCGUAGGCUGAGUGUUUAGGUAAAUCCGGAUACUCUUAAGGCUGAGACACGACGUCGAGCUACUACGGUAGUGAAGUCAUUGAUGCCAUGCUUCCAGGAAAAGCCUCUAAGCUUCAGAUUGUAAGGAAUCGUACCCCAAACCGACACAGGUGGUCGGGUAGAGAAUACCAAGGCGCUUGAGAGAACUCGGGUGAAGGAACUAGGCAAAAUGGUACCGUAACUUCGGGAGAAGGUACGCUCUUGAUGGUGAAGUCCCUUGCGGAUGGAGCUGACGAGAGUCGCAGAUACCAGGUGGCUGCAACUGUUUAUUAAAAACACAGCACUGUGCAAAAUCGUAAGAUGACGUAUACGGUGUGACGCCUGCCCGGUGCCGGAAGGUUAAUUGAUGGGGUUAGCGUAAGCGAAGCUCUUGAUCGAAGCCCCGGUAAACGGCGGCCGUAACUAUAACGGUCCUAAGGUAGCGAAAUUCCUUGUCGGGUAAGUUCCGACCUGCACGAAUGGCGUAAUGAUGGCCACGCUGUCUCCACCCGAGACUCAGUGAAAUUGAAAUCGCUGUGAAGAUGCAGUGUACCCGCGGCUAGACGGAAAGACCCCGUGAACCUUUACUACAGCUUGGCACUGAACAUUGAACCUACAUGUGUAGGAUAGGUGGGAGGCUUUGAAGACGUGACGCUAGUUGCGUUGGAGCCGUCCUUGAAAUACCACCCUUGUAUGUUUGAUGUUCUAACGUUGGCCCCUAAUCGGGGUUGCGGACAGUGCCUGGUGGGUAGUUUGACUGGGGCGGUCUCCUCCCAAAGAGUAACGGAGGAGCACGAAGGUGGGCUAAUCACGGUUGGACAUCGUGAGGUUAGUGCAAUGGCAUAAGCCCGCUUAACUGCGAGAAUGACGGUUCGAGCAGGUGCGAAAGCAGGUCAUAGUGAUCCGGUGGUUCUGAAUGGAAGGGCCAUCGCUCAACGGAUAAAAGGUACUCCGGGGAUAACAGGCUGAUACCGCCCAAGAGUUCAUAUCGACGGCGGUGUUUGGCACCUCGAUGUCGGCUCAUCACAUCCUGGGGCUGAAGUCGGUCCCAAGGGUAUGGCUGUUCGCCAUUUAAAGUGGUACGCGAGCUGGGUUUAGAACGUCGUGAGACAGUUCGGUCCCUAUCUGCCGUGGGCGUUGGAAGAUUGAAGGGGGCUGCUCCUAGUACGAGAGGACCGGAGUGGACGAACCUCUGGUGUUCGGGUUGUGUCGCCAGACGCAUUGCCCGGUAGCUAAGUUCGGAAUCGAUAACCGCUGAAAGCAUCUAAGCGGGAAGCGAGCCCUGAGAUGAGUCUUCCCUGAUACUUUAAGUAUCCUGAAGGGUUGUUCGAGACUAGAACGUUGAUAGGCAGGGUGUGUAAGCGCUGUGAGGCGUUGAGCUAACCUGUACUAAUUGCCCGUGAGGCUUAACCAUACAACACCCAAAGGGUUUUG
rnacentral:rRNA from 1 species